AUUCGAUUAUGGCUCAGAUUGAACGCUGGCGGGAUGCUUUACACAUGCAAGUCGAACGGCAGCACGGACUUCGGUCUGGUGGCGAGUGGCGAACGGGUGAGUAAUGUAUCGGAACGUGCCUAGUAGCGGGGGAUAACUACGCGAAAGCGUAGCUAAUACCGCAUACGCCCUUCGGGGGAAAGCGGGGGACCUUCGGGCCUCGCACUAUUAGAGCGGCCGAUAUCAGGAUUAGCUAGUUGGUGGGGUAACGGCUCACCAAGGCGACGAUCGUAGCUGGUUUGAAGGACGACCAGCCACACUGGGACUACAGAGACACGGCCCAGACUCCUGCAGGAGGCAGCAGUGGGGAAUUUUGGACAAUGGAAACCUGAUCAGCCAUCCCGCGUGUGCGAUGAAGGCCUUCGGGUUGUAAAGCACUUUUGGCAGGAAAGAAACGGCGGGAUAAUACCCCGUGCAACUGACGUACCUGCAGAAUAAGCACCGGCUAACUACGUGCCAGCAGCCGCGGUAAUACGUAGGGUGCAAGCGUUAAUCGGAAUUACUGGGCGUAAAGCGUGCGCAGGCGGUUCGGAAAGAAGAUGCUUGAAAUCCCAGAGCUUAACUUUGGAACUGCAUUUUUAACUACCGAGCUAGAGUGUGUCAGAGAGUGGAAUUCGCGUGCGCCAUUGAAAUGCGUAUAUGCGGAGGAACACCAGUGGCGAAGGCAGCCUCCUGGGAUAACUGACGCUCAUGCACAGCGUGGGAGCAAACAGGAUUAGAUACCCUGGUAGUCCACGCCCUAAACGAUGUCAACUAGCUGUUGGGGCCUUCGGGUACCAGCGCCAGCUGCGUGAAGUUGAUACACGCCUAGGAGCUGAUAUGGAUACCAGCUCAAGGAAUUGGUGAGACCACGCACAAGCGGUAGUGAUGGAUAGUGAUGCCUUGCCGAAAACCACCACCUACCACCAGGCAUCCGGAAUCCCGAGAGAGAGCGAGUUUGGGUGCACCGGGAACCCAGACUCCUCCAGAUGCUUGCAUGGCUUGUCGUCCAGCCGUGUCGUGGACGUUGGGUUCGUCCUGCGGCGAAAUCCGCCAACUCUGUCAUUAGUUGCUACGAAGGGCACUCUAAUGAGACUGCCGGUGACAAACCGGAGGAAGGUGGGGAUGACGUCAAGUCCUCAUGGCCCUUAUGGGUAGGGCUUCACACGUCAUACAAUGGUCGGGACAGAGGGUCGCCAACCCGCGAGGGAGCCAAUCCCAGAAACCCGAUCGUAGUCCGGAUCGCAGUCUGCAACUCGACUGCGUGAAGUCGGAAUCGCUAGUAAUCGCGGAUCGGCAUGUCGCGAGUGGGAAUACGCUCCCGGGGUCUUGUACACACCGCCCGUCACACCAUGGGAGUGGGUUUUACCAGAAGUAGUUAGCCUAACCGUAAGGAGGGCGAUUACCACGGUAGGAUUCAUGACUGGGGUGAAGUCGUAACAAGGUAG
rnacentral:rRNA from 1 species